AUUGAACGCUGGCGGCAGGCCUAACACAUGCAAGUCGAACGAGUGGCGGACGGGUGAGUAAUGUCUGGGAAACUGCCUGAUGGAGGGGGAUAACUACUGGAAACGGUAGCUAAUACCGCAUACCAUCGGAUGUGCCCAGAUGGGAUUAGCUAGUGUGGGGGGUAAAGGCUCACCAAGGCGACGAUCCCUAGCUGGUCUGAGAGGAUGAACAGCCACACUGGAACUGAGACACGGUCCAGAACACUACGGGAGGCAGCAGGGGGGAAGAGUGCACAAUGGGCGCAAGCCUGAUGGAGCCAUGCCGCGUGUAUGAAGAAGGCCUUAGGGUUGUAAAGUACGUGCAGCGGGGAGGGGUUACCCGCAGAAGAAGCACCGGCUAACUCCGUGCCAGCAGCCGCGGUAAUUC
rnacentral:rRNA from 1 species